CAGGCUAGGCUGCUCCAGUUCCGAAGUCGCGGCUGGCGGGGGAGGCUGCGGGGGCGAGCCAGGACUGUGUUUUGAAUCUUCCAGAAGUACACCCAGGUGCAAAUAUCUCCUCCCCAGGUCACUUAUUCUGUAAAUCUGCUUCAUCACAUACUGAAUUCACUCCAUAUGGAAACACAGUUUGGACAGAAUCAAGGAACUCCAAAAAAGAAUUGUAUGUGUUUAUACAGUGAAGGCCCAUUUACCAAUAACUGUCCUAACACUCAUUGUCCUUUCUCCUCCACAAUGUGAGGUUUUCUUGCCUACAUGCAAGUGUUCCCCAUAAAAAUAUGCACAGGAGAAAAUAAGAUCACUGCCUCUCUCCUUGGCUCACUGGAGCCCUGUUUCUUGGCACAUCGUUCACAUGGAUACACAGCAAGAAUCCACUUAAACCCAGCGCCCCAAACUCGUGCACAGCUCAGGCACCGGGCGCAGGAUCAGGACCUUCAUCGAGGGGCUCAGAAGCAGUUCCCACACUUUGGAAUGCUGCGUGGCCAGAGCGCACCAACCAAACCCACCCCACGAGGUCCCCAGCGCUAGGCCGACAGCCACACAUGCCCUGGCUCUCACCCCUGUGCCCGGAAUAGUGUGUGAGCGAAGCACAGACAUGAAAUCAGGAACAAGAACACAGGAUCCACGGUGCAGAAGAGAUGGUUCAUGCGGCCCAAGCGCCAAGCGCGGAAAGCAGAAGCGAGCCGGGAGAGCGGGCAGGCAUGCGGGGCGCAGGGGCGAAGCGCACAGACACGGCCCGGCCAGCGGCAGCCACGCGCACUUACACGGUGCGAUCUCACACUACCUUGGUUGCCUUAAGCAUUUCCAUCGUCUGAGAGUGUGGCAAGGAAAAACAGAAGGGUUAAAGAUAAGUCAGAGUUCGCUUUCGGAUGUCAAGGUUAAAAACAACAUUGUUUUUGCUGUUGCAUUCACGGGGCACAGCCGGAUGCUGGGCUGCUUCAGGGUGGCAGCUGGCCAGGCCUGGUUGGGUCACAGCUGCAUCGGCCCCUGGCUGGCUGGGGACCCUGCACAAGGGUCUCCUUUUUCUGUGCCAUUUUUUCACCUGUAAAACGGGUGUAAUCACACUUACCUCCCGAGGCUGUGGGGAGCAGAGUAUGAAUGAACACACAGGGAAUACUCAGACCGGUUCUGCUCAAGACUCAGCAUUAGUUAACUGUUGAAUACCAGCAUUGUAGUUCUGUAAUUUUACCUUUGGCUUCUUCGUGCAUUAUCACUCAGACUAGAGGAAUAAACAUGUUUAGAAAGCCAAGGACCCGCAGAGAACUCGAACUACUCAGUAUGAGGAGAAAAAGACAGAGUUGGAAAUGCAGGGCUGGAACAACAGUCUCAAGUGUCAUAAUUCUUGGAGGGCACCGUCUCAGACUCUGGACGAUCUCAAAACAAUGCAGAAGAGCUUUUGAUGAUGGAUAAGUAAAACUUGGUUGGAUACCAGUGGACCAAUCAUGACCCAUGACCCUGGUCACCGCGGUGGGCAGCAAGGCCUGGGGAUGGACCUCAGCCUGCGUCUCCUCCUUCCUUCUAUGCAGCCUCCCGGAGAUCAGGAAAGGAACCAGUCCAGUGUGUCAAGUCCUGCAAGAACACAGCUGUCUCUACUCUUUCCCGGAACCACUUAAUCAGCUUUGCCUUCACCUGGCAGGCUGUUGUGGUCCAACCAGAAAGAAAGGGAUGCUCAGCUUGAGAGACGCCUGCAAGUGAGAUGCCCCGGGGUGACGCGGAAACCUUGUUUCAAAUGAAAAUGGAGGUCAGCCUUGGAGGAUUUCAGCUGGCAGACCGAAAGAGGGAACACUGGAGAGGAAGGCAUCGAAGCCUGGUAAGUCCCCUUUCCAGGAAGAGGCGUCCUGUCAGGUAAGCGUCUGCUCCUGAAGAGACAUAGCCAGGAGGCUCAGCUGGGAGCCAUAAGCAUUGUCUCAUGUAGUGGGAGGUGUGAACGUCUGAGCCCACCAGUCCUGAGCGGAAGAGACCCUCCUUUGAGCGAGGUUUGACCUGGGUUUCCUCACAUGUGACCGCAGCUGCUGGUCAGGCCGCAGCUGCCUGGAGCUCAGAGCUUGGCUCUGGGCUUUUCCGUCCGGGCUGCCUCCCAGCCUGCUGCAGCCUGCCCGUGCCUGGGAGGGGUUGAGGCUGCCGGUGAUCACAGCUUCAUUUGUCUGGCGGGGGAAGCUGGCUGUUUAAGAUGCUGUCUUACAUCUUCCCAAUCACAGGUACUGUUUCAAGGACAGAGACUACAGUGCUCUGGAGCACAGAGAGACACCUUGAUCUGCCUCUCAUCGCCUUUUUGAAGGGAUGCUAUUUAUGUCAUUAGGAUGUUGCUCAGGCAAAGGUACAAAUGGGAGAGAGAGACGGAGGAUACUCAGGAAAGCAAAGGGAUUUUCAGCCAGAAAAAACAGGUCUAAUGAAUUGAUGUUUGCAGAAAUGGUGACAUUUAAACAAUUAUUAAGCAAUUAGCCAAAUUAUAGGUAGGAUGGAAAAUAUAAGACGAUUUCAGAGGGAAUCAUUUCAAAUAAGUGACUAUCCUGUGGAGUUAUCAUCUUGCAUUUGGUUCCAAAUCAAAUGAAAAGGUCAUUAUUUUGACAGGAGAGGGAGGGCAGUUAUGCCUUUACUGCUGAUGGACAAGUACUGCCACGUCAGGGUGGCGUCACGAGCUCAUCAGCCUCUGGGCCACAUCUGGAGGGCUGGAGCCCUUAGGGCAGCCAUGACAGCUGUGGUGUCCUUGUCUUGCACAAGGUGACUUUUGGAAAAGAGUUCAUGGCAGCCACUUCUCAGUUCUGCUUUGAGUCUCAGUCCCCUCCCAAGGCGGGUCAGAGCUGUGUCAGGGGUAGGCUAAGUCUUGGAGAACAAUCCAUGUGAGAAAAAGGUCAAGCAUGAAAAAGACAUUGUGUUACAGUGAGGGGUGCAUACCCAUGUUUGUAGCACUGCAGCUCCUAAUGGCUAAAUCUCGGGAGAGGCCCGUAUGCCCAUCAACAGUUGCACGGAUAAAGAAUGUGGUGUUUGCACACAAGGGAGUACUGCUGAGCCAUAAAUAAGGUCAACUCAAGUUGUCUGUAGGAGAAUGGAUGCACCUUGAGACCAUAAUGUUAAGGGAAGUAAAUCAGACAUGUGAGCUUAAAUAUGGCACGGCUUCUCUUACGUGAGAAAUCUAAAAUGUACAUAAAGAGCAAAAUAAAAUACAGGUAACAGGAAGAAGGGAGAUCUUUUUCAAAUGAGAAGGAGAUCAAGAGAUGGAGGGAAAAGGAUGAAAAUAAGAUAGCUGAAAGAGAAAAGCAGAAGUGGAGCUUUUGCAAAUGAGAAGGGGGACAAGAGAUGGAGCAGUGGAAGGGGUAGGGGACAAAGGAAGAGUUAAAAUGUGCUAUGUCCGUGUAUCAAGGUUUGUGUUUUGUUUUUCUUUGAGACAGGGUCUCACCACGUAGCUCAGGCUGGUCCUGAACGCACCGUGUAGCCCAGAUUGGCCUCGAAUGCUCAGUGAUCUUCCUGCCUCAGCCUCCUGAAUCCUGGGGUUCCAUGUGUGAGCCACCAUUCAUGGCUGAAGCACCAGUUUUAAUCCUUUGAAAACCACACUCCAGGGGAGAUGAAAUCCUUAUGGUGGGGAAGGGGGAGCAUAGGGGAGGAGUGAAGGGGGAGGCUGGGAAGGGCAGGGCCCUGAGCGUAUCCCCCAGCUCUGCGAGUGCCAGGUGAAGCCUCACCUGCCCUCCCUGUCUCCUCUUGUUUUCUUUGGCACUGGGGACGGAUGAACCGUUUGCCUGGGGAAUCUGAUAGGGGUGAGUGUAAGUGUGUGUAUCUCAUCAACGAAGUCUGAUUCUUCUGAGGGGCUAUAAAAUGCUGUAUCCUCUUCCUGCUUGGAUUAAUAAGAGGGAACAUGAAACUUGAGUUUAGUGUUGCAAAAUUGAUUUUAAAGAUCCUUCUAGUUUAAUUUUAUGGAUUGCAAAAGGAGGCUGAGAGAGAGAGAGAGAGAGAGAGAGAGAGCGAGCGAGAGAGAGCGAGCCAGUGAGAAAGUGAGAAUCCCAGAAGAGGAGACAAGAAUGAAAGCUGAGCACACAGGAAGACUGAGGGAAGGAAGACACGCGACAGCUUAGAGGUGGCAUCUAAAGGUCCCCUGGCACACAUGCACACGCACAGCAUGUAAAACCCAUGUGACUCCAUAUCGUUGUUUGGUCUCAUUCCAUUCUCCAUCUGAAAUUCUCUGUUGUUCUCGUCUAAGAAUAGGCUCAGGGAUGGACCUGAUGUUCUCGUUGGCGCCCCGAGAAUGGAGAAGCUGACUUGAAGAUGAGAUUUGUGCAGAAAGUGGCCUGAAGGCCACUGAAGAAGGAUCAUGUUCCCAUCACCCUGCCCUUCGGGAAAGAUGAUUGUUAUUUUCAGUGCAUCCUCUGAACAGCCAAAGCUCCUCUGUGAGGACAGUGCACUUUGCUCUGUGCGACAAACACACAGCCAGGCCUUCUACCACAUCCGCCCGCUCGUGUGCGAGACCUUUGUCCAGAGCACUACGAAUACAAGGCUCGCUCUUCCCACAGGGGAUCAGCGAACAGGCGACAUUUCAUUCAUUAAGCAGCAUUAUUUAUAGUACUCAAAACAUUAAAAAAAAAGACAGUU